GUUUUUUCACGGAUAUUCGAAAUC
rnacentral:snRNA from 1 species